CUUAUGGAUAGAACUAUAGUGAAAAUAAAUUAUUACUUUUGGUCGGGGACCCACUGGAAAACACACAAGAACCCCUGACGGACCCCAGACCCCUCUUCCAGAACCAGUGGCCUAGGCAAAUACUGGAAAAGAUAUUUAAAAUUUUCAA